GGUUUCGUGGCCCAAUGGCAAGGCGUCUGACUACGACGAUCUGUGGAAGUUUCACGGUCCUGUCAUCAGGAGAUUUUGGGUUCGAGCCCCAACGAGAUCA